rnacentral:lncRNA from 1 species
GCACGAUCCUGGAGACCCGGGAUCAAAUCCCACGUCAGGCUCCCGGUGCAUGGAGCCUGCUUCUCCCUCUGCCUAUGUCUCUGCCUCUCUCUCUCUCUGUGUGUGACUAUCAUUAAAAAAAAAAAAAAAAAAAAAAGUGUUUAAAUAAAAACAAUAAAUAAUUAUUAUCUAUUUUGCGACAGUCUGAUUUAGGAGAAGGCUUAUACUACAGUUUUCCUUGUUUCCCAUUUAUAAACACAUAUAUACCUUUCAGGUGGACCUGGAUAACAUCAAGGAUAAAAACAAAGGUCUUGAUGUAAGAAUUACUUAAAUAAAAACCCAGAUUUGCUACUUAAUAUGAUCUCAGUUACCUUUGGUUGCCUGGGACAUUCGAUGGAUAAUCUCUGCAACUGGUCUGAGGUAUGGCUACAAGAGAACAGAUCGGAGCAGCAGGUCGAACGGCUCAACCUCUUCAUUAAAGAAGAAAUAAUGCUGCAGCCACAGCCACACAUUGACUUGUUCAUUAGAUGAGAACUUAACUUAAAAAAUCAGAACUGGUAAUGUCCCAUAUAUACUCAAAAUUGGCUAACUGCCUCAUUCUGCAGCUCUCUGGCUGAAAGAAACACUGCUAAAAAAGAAUAAAACAUCAGCUUCUCUAAAGAAGAUACCAGACACAAACUCAUCGCCAAGAAAAAGUCGAUAUCAAAAACAGAAGUCUCCCAGCUACUCUUUAGAAAUAAGGUAAGGUGCUUUAAUAUUUCAUACUGUUUUCUAUUAAAGCCCAAGUACUUAACAAAGGAGCAAACUCGAGAUAUUAUACCCCAAAAUUAUACUAACCACUCUUUCUGUCCUCCAUCAGUUUAGAUCUGUUUGCCUACUCCUUCAGCUCAGCCUAUCCAACCUGUUCCCUCUGUAAAUGCACACUAUUUCAACAACCAACUGGAAUGAGCCCCACCCCUCUCUGUCCCCACACACACUGUUCAAGAACCGCUCAAUAUCUGGAAAAGAACGGCUGCUGCAUUGCUUUGAGAAACAACAGGGAGCAAAUUACUGGACGGAUUCUUUAACUUACCAAUCAGAACUGCUGACCUUUUAUGACUCCACGAUUCAAGAAGCCUGCCAAACACUCACAAUGCAUGUCAGACACUUUGGGGAAAAAGGUCUUAUUACUGCUGAUGUACUCCUCCUAGCAAAUGUGUGAGAUUGGGAAGCUAAGACAGGUAUGAAAAAACUAAAACAUCAUCCUAACAUAAGAACAAUGUGCCAAGCAUUAAAACCACAUACAAUUUACAUUGUCAACAAAUGUAUAACAUGCCCAAAAUAAUUUGAGAUUUUUAUUAGCUUUACAAUUAACAAAAGCCUAUAAGUAAAUCAUUAUGUCUAAGAUUACAGACAAGCAUCAAUAAAAAUCCCCACCAAAUGCA